AUAUAUAUAUAUAUAUAUAUAUAUAUAUAUAUAUUUUAUAUCAUCUCUAUUUCUGCCUUCAUAUCUCUCUUUAUAUAUUUAUCUGUCUCUAACUUUGAUGGUGCAUUGUUAAGUUUUCACACAUUAUUGUGUAGCAUCACUGUGGCAGUAUCUCCUACCAAGUAUUCUGAUGUUGUGCAAUUACUACAUCUGCAUCUUAAGGUGUGGGUGUUAUCACUAUGUCUGCAUCUUAUGGUGUGGUGUUAUCACUAUGUCUGCAUCUUAAGGUGUGGUGUUAUCACUAUGUCUGCAUCUUAAGGUGCAAUUACUGCAAUGUCUGCAUCUUAAGGUGCAAUUACUGCAAUGUCUGCAUCUUAAGGUAAGGUGCUACUGCUACUUCUGCAUGUUUAGAUGCUUCCUACCUUCUUGUUCUCCUUGAUUUUUAAUUUGUUUAGUCUUUCAUAAUGACUGAACUCCUUUUAUUCGUUCAUAAAGUUUCCACACUUUCACAAUCUUUGUUAUUGAUAAACAUCUUGGAAAUUAUAUUUGAAAUUAAUAGAUGAUUUGUUAAUAACUUACCAUAAGUCCCAUAACAAACCCAAGGAAUGGAUAUAAAUGUAGCUUUAAAAAAUAAAACCCACUAACUGUAUUAGAAUUUGUCAAAGACACAUAAAAGUAACCCCUGUGAAAAUGGACUGCUAAACGCACCUUUGAAAUGCCCAGUUAGGUAACGGGGCAAUUCCCAGUGUAGCCCGUGAGCCUGACAUCUUAUUGUAAACAAUCCUAUGUAAACAUGUUGUAUCUCAAACUUGUAUAACCCAGUCUACAUAGACCUCUGAUCUCAGAUAAAUGUCAUAUCCUCUCUGUAAUCCCUGAUAAGUGGAGAACCAAGUACUUACAGAGCUGUUAUCCCAAUAGAAUUAUGUAUUGAUCCCUUUUUCCCAAAAGGCCCCAACUCCUCAUGACUUUUUGCCCAAAUUAAAUUCCUAUGAUACCCGUGUAAUUUAGUAAAUCAAAACCAUACUGAAAUCUUCAACAUUAGAGUGUUUACACAUUAUUUUUAUUAUUAUUUUUUUUAAAUUACUGUAUUAUCUUUUUAAAUACAGUAGUGUUUUAUGUGUAGGUGAUGCUGAUACAAUGUUUUGAAUAUUUUAGUUAACCAUUGUUCUUUAGACUGUGAUGUUAAGUGUCUCUUAAAAUGAAAUUAUUGUAAUGGAAUGAAACAUUAAACUGAGAUAUUAAUGCAUGUUAAAUUUAAAGAUAUUUAAAUUUGCAUAACAAUUAAAGUGAAUUUGACGUUAAUAAAGACCAUGUAUCCUAGACUCGAAGAUUAUCAUCAUAAUAGAAUAGCAAAACCUAAAUUCAGAAUUGUCUAAAAUAUGUUUCAAGCGUUACUGAUGCAUUAACUAUUGUGGCAUGUGUGGAGAUGAGGAGUGACUGAUGUGUUUGGAGACAAUUCUUCACAUUAAUAUCAGAAACCAUUCAAUUGUUGAAAUUGUUGUGGCGGAAAAUGUUCCCUUACCCAAAAACGACCUCAUGGACUUACCUGCGAGGUACCAAGUGUCUUAGUGCAAGGUCUGCCACUAAUAUAUCUAGUAUGCUUGAAAUAUUAUUAGGGGAAAUUUGGGCAAGAAGAUGAAUUAUGACAGCUUCUUAUUUAUUUAAUUCAUAAUUAGUGGUUGGUUCACUAAUUAUAAUGAAUAUUGUUGCUUAUUGCAUUCUAAUUUUAUAAUGUGUUUAAUCAUUUUAAUAAUGGUUGCUUUGCAUAUAGUUCUGUGUCUUCAGAAUCUGAAGACCUGUUAUUUUUAAUAAAAGCAAUAGCUU
rnacentral:lncRNA from 1 species